UACAUUUGUUUAGAAUCCAAUUAUCCUACCAGAAUGAAACCUUCUUGAGGACAGAGACUGUGCUUUUUGUUCACCACUGUGUGAACAGAACCUGGCACUGGGCCUGACACAUGAGAGUACUAGAUAAAUAUGGGUUGGUAGACUUAACAAACAAGUAUGGAUGGGUGAAUGGAUGGAUGGAUUAAUGGAUAAAAACUCAGCUUAACAUAUUUGUAUCAUCGGGAAGCAAGAUAGAAAGCAUGUGUCCAUGUUUGAACCAAAAAUUUAAAGGGGAAUGGAAACAUCCCAAAUCCACACCUGCUGAUGACAGUGAGAAAUAAGGCCAAGCAAACAAAUGAUUCUCCUCAUUCAUUGAUUCAACAAACACUUCCUAAGCUCCUCAAGGGGCCAGGGCCCAAGGCAGGCAUGAAGUAGCACUGAGCACACAGACAAGCAGGACACAGGCUGGGAAAUAUCAAUUAAGUUAAGCGCAGAGCAUCAUAAGGACCUUACUUUUCAAAAUCCAUGCUGGUGAACUUGACCUCUUUGAUACUUUAGGAUUGAUAUUACAAUCUCAAGAGGUAUCACGGAAUAUUGAGGUUUGUUCUGC
rnacentral:lncRNA from 1 species